UAUCAAUGUUCAAACUUUUGUCAGAUUAGUAUACUGCUGAUGACUACAAUGUAAUAGAUAAAUAACACUAUGGAUGUAUACCUGUAAACGUUGAAAAAUGAUAACACAUUUCGAAUUAUAAAAAUGAGGCGACGAUUGUCAACCAGUUUUUCUGUUGAUGACAGUGAACCUAUUCUAAAGGAUCCUAUAGUUGAAAGUGAUGACGAUUUGAUAUUAUGGUCAAAAUCGGCAAAAAAUCCUGAAAACGAAGACCAAAUUGAUGUAGUGAAAUUUCACACUGAUGUUGCAUUAAAUAUUGAAUCUACAAGUGUUGAAAAAAUCAUCGCAAUAUCAUUUCUGUAGACGUUUCCAAAGAAUUAUUGAGAAAAAAAUCAUGUUGGAUAAUAAUUGCAGCAAGUGUUGUAAUACUCAUAAUUUUCUCAUUGCUUAUUCAUAAAAUAUUAACUAGUAUCCAAGAUACAGAGAUUGGUCCAAAGCAAAACAUAAGUGAAAACAAUUUAUACCAGAGGUAAUAAGUGAUCCAGUACACGUCAAAGGACGAAAAGGAAGCGUAGAUUGAUAUCUUUGUGUUCAUCUUUAUGAGAAAUCCAAUGUUUAAAGUAUAAUCGUAAAUUUAUCUUCAAUUCAUGUAAUGGGCGAUAUUGUGAGCAUGCAUUUUUAAUGGGAAGCAUUAUUUUUGCAACAUCCUUCUACAGAACAGUUAAAAGAGAACUGAACUGAACUAUACUAAUAUAACAAAGGCAAAGA